GCUAUUACUUCGGCCAAUCCCAGUGGAGAACCAGACAGCACCCACCACAGCAUGGUUAUCGACCGGCUGGGCCACAAAAUCCAGGGUGUUCUGUGUGAUGGGGAGACUAAUGAAGUUGUUGCCUCUACAGUGGUGAACUGCCUAAAGAUCAAUGAGGGGGCCAUCACCAUCCUCAGGGAAGGCUGCGUCCCUGCAGUAAAAGUCAGAGAAAUUUUUAAUAGAGUUAAAAGCACAAUGGCCUGAUGAUUGGUUGGGAAUGGCCGAACCAGGGGCCCCCCAAAUGCUCAGAGCCC